UUUCAGGUGUAUAAUAUAGUGAUUCAACAAUUUAUAAGGACUUUUUUUAAUGGCAGGAGGGCUUUGGUACUUUUUUAAAUAUUUUCAAAAAAAUUCUUGACUCUUCUCCCUUCAAGAAAUGGAGCUUAAUUCCUCUUCCCUUGACUGUGGACUUGAUUUAGUGGCUAACUUCUAACAAAUAGAGUAUUUGUGAAGGAAUGGGACUUCCCAAAUUAGGUCAUAAAAGACAUCACAGCUUCCUUCCUCUGCAUGCCCUCUCUUGGAUUAUUCACUCUGCGGAAAGCUAACUGUGAUAUCAUGAGAACGCUAAAUCAGCCCUAUGGAGAAGCCCAUGUGACAAGGAACUGAGGCCUCCUUGUCAAUAGCCAACAAGGAAUGGAGACCUUCAGCCAACACUCCCAACACUCAUCUUGGAAGAAGUACCUCUAGCAUAGUAGUUUUCAACUAGGGGUGAUUUUGCUGCCUAAGGAACCUGACAAUGUCUGGGAUAUUUUGGUCGUUACAACUAGGAAGGGAGGUAGGAUUGGCAUCUAGAAGGUAGAGGCCAUGGAUACUGCUAAAAUCCUAUAAUUCAGAACAAAUCCCCAUGCAACAAAGUAUUAUUCAUCCCAAACUAUCAAUAAUUCUAAGGGUGAGAAAUCUUGACCCAAUCAAACAGCAUAGUUGACAUCUAGAUUGUGAUGUCAUGAGAGACACUGAGUUAGAACCACCCAGCUAAACUGCUCUUAGAUUACAGACACUCAGAAAGUGUGUAAGUACUUCAGAAUCUAUUGAGGAGGCAGUGAGGAAAAGGACACAGCGAUGUAACAAAUGAUGUGUUAAAGACAAACGCUGGGAAAUAAUUCUUCUGGAUCAGAAGAAAUUUUCUUAGGUGGUCAAAUCUUCAGCCCACAUGAGCCACUUGCCCGGGCCUUGGCCUCUGCCAUUACAGCUCAGCCCUCACUGGAGUCUGUCCAGCAAGAACCUAGAAGCCUGCUAGUAAGAAGAGGUAUUCCUUCCUUAGCAGUCAUGGAGGAGGAAGAUGACAAAUACUAAGACAGCCCACUCCUUUUUCACCACAUUAUGCAUCGAAUAUCUAUUGCAUAGCAUUCCAAUAAAUGAAUGACAUCAAGAUGA